rnacentral:ncRNA from 1 species
GGGGAGGUAAGGUCGGCGAUAGCCCCUCCGGCCGAAACGAUGAGGCUCACGUAAGUGGGGUGGGAUGGAGUAGGCCGGGGCUCCCC